UUAUAAGUCAGGCGCUAUAACUCGAAUUUAUAUCGUUUCACACAUAGUCUUUAAGUAUGUUCGGUGCAGUGUGAGAUGACGCUCUGAGGUGAAAGCGUGUUCAUUUUUCAUUUUUUCAGCAGCACCUAAGGUGAAAAUGUAUAGCAGCAUCCUCUUUGUAGGAAUCAAUCUCGAGAUGAACUGUUUUUAUAAGCAAAAUGUACGAUUGAACUCGUCCAGAAAUGCCGACCGGUUGUGGCCCGGUUUGGACUAAUUCUUUAAACGUUUACCACCGUUUUAAGUGUGACCAUCUGCAGAAGCAAGUUACAAAAUCCUAUUUCCUCGCGGUAUUUGUAAAGCGCAUUUGCCAAGAUAGAGAAGAUGACAUUUGAAGGAGAAGCAUCAAUCAGUCACCGAGAAAAAGGAUGGAAACGACGUCAAUACUCACCGGUAUUCCCACCGUCAUCUUUCCUACGAAGUGUACAAAUGUUCCUUAGCUGGAACAACACCUACGGGAACGAAUUCGGUGGUGGUGGUCUAGUUGCAGUUGGGGACAUUGUUGCAUAUUUUUAAACUCAACUGAUCAAUAACAAUAACAA